GAUGAACGCUAGCGGCAGGCCUAACACAUGCAAGUCGAGGGGCAGCGCGGUGUAGCAAUACACCGGCGGCGACCGGCGCACGGGUGCGUAACGCGUAUGCAACCUACCCACUCCCGGGGGAUAGCCCGCCGAAAGGCGGAUUAAUACCCCAUGGCCCCGGGGCGCCGCAUGGCGUCCCGGGUAAAGCUCCGGCGGGAAUGGAUGGGCAUGCGUGCCAUUAGCUUGUUGGUGGGGUAACGGCCCACCAAGGCUACGAUGGCUAGGGGCUCUGAGAGGAUGAUCCCCCACACUGGUACUGAGACACGGACCAGACUCCUACGGGAGGCAGCAGUGAGGAAUAUUGGUCAAUGGGCGGAAGCCUGAACCAGCCAUGCCGCGUGCAGGACGACGGCCCUACGGGUUGUAAACUGCUUUUCCGGGGGAAGAAUAAGGCCCAUGCGUGGGCCGAUGCCGGUACCCCGGGAAUAAGGAUCGGCUAACUCCGUG
rnacentral:rRNA from 1 species